AUACGGAGGAUCCGAGCGUUAUCCGGAUUUAUUGGGUUUAAAGGGUGCGUAGGUGGUUUGAUAAGUCAGCGGUGAAAGUUUGCAGCUUAACUGUAAAAAUGCCGUUGAAACUGUCGGACUUGAGUGUAAAUGAGGUAGGCGGAAUGCGUGGUGUAGCGGUGAAAUGCAUAGAUAUCACGCAGAACUCCGAUUGCGAAGGCAGCUUACUAAGCUACAACUCACACUGAAGCAAGAAAGCGUGGGGAUCAAACAGGAAUAGAUACCCUGGUAGUCCACGCAGUAAACGAUGAUUACUAGCUGUUUGCGAGACACAGUAAUCGGCACAUCGAAAGCGUUAAGUAUUCCACCUGGGGAGUACACCGGCAACGGUGAAACUCAAAGGAAUUGACGGGG
rnacentral:rRNA from 1 species